rnacentral:rRNA from 1 species
UACGGGGGGGGCAAGCGUUGUUCGGAAUUACUGGGCGUAAAGGGCUCGUAGGCGGCCAACUAAGUCGGAUGUGAAAUCCCCAGGCUCAACCUGGGAACUGCAUCCGAUACUGGAUGGCUUGAAUCCGGGAGAGGGAUGCAGAAUUCCAGGUGUAGCGGUGAAAUGCGUAGAUAUCUGGAGGAACACCGGUGGCGAAGGCGGCAUCCUGGACCGGCAUUGACGCUGAGGCGCGAAAGCCAGGGGAGCAAACGGG